rnacentral:rRNA from 1 species
GGGCCCGCACAAGCGGUGGAGCAUGUGGUUUAAUUCGAUGAUACGCGAGGAACCUUACCAGGGCUUAAAUGUAGGUUGCAUGAUCUAGAGAUAGAUCUUUCUUCGGACUACCUACAAGGUGCUGCAUGGUUGUCGUCAGCUCGUGCCGUGAGGUGUCAGGUUAAGUCCUAUAACGAGCGCAACCCCCUGUCGUUAGUUACCAGCAAUUAAAGUUGGGUACUCUAGCGAGACUGCCGGUGCAAACCGUGAGGAAGGUGGGGAUGACGUCAAAUCAUCACGGCCCUUACGUCCUGGGCUACACACGUGCUACAAUGGCCGGUACAGAGAGCAGCCACUACGCGAGUAGGAGCGAAUCCCAAAAAGUGCGUCGUAGUCCGGAUCGGAGUCUGCAACUCGACUCCGUGAAGUCGGAAUCGCUAGUAAUCG